rnacentral:rRNA from 1 species
UACGAAGGGUGCAAGCGUUACUCGGAAUUACUGGCGUAAAGCGUGCGUAGGUGGUGAGUUAAGUCUGUCGUGAAAGCCCCGGGCUCAACCUGGGAAUGGCGAUGGAUACUGGCUCGCUAGAGUGCGGUAGAGGAGAGUGGAAAUUCCCGGUGUAGCAGUGAAAUGCGUAGAGAUCGGGAGGAACAUCAGUUGCGAAGGCGGCUCUCUGGACCAGCACUGACACUGAGGCACGAAAGCGUGGGAGCAAACAGG